rnacentral:tRNA from 1 species
UCCCUGGUAGCUCAGAUGGUAAAAGCGUCUGCCUACAAUGCAGGAGACCUGGGUUUGAUCCCUGGGUCGGGAA